rfam:Salmo salar isolate Sally breed double haploid chromosome ssa22, whole genome shotgun sequence.
UCCCGUGUGGCUCAGUUGGUAGAGCAUGGAGUUUGCAACGCCAGGGUUGUGGGUUGAUUCCCACGGGGGAC